CUUAAAAAAAAAAACUAGUUUCCGUGCCCAAUAUUUGACCGUACGUCUUAUUUAAAAAAAUUAUAAAAAAUUAAAAAAACAAGUCACGUAUAAAAUAUUAAUUAUGUUUUAUCAUGUAACAACAAUAAAAAUACGAAUUAUAAAAAUAAAAUUAUAUCAGAUGGACAGUCAAAGUUGGACACGGAAAUUCAGGGUUUGCUUUUUU
rfam:Oryza nivara chromosome 1, whole genome shotgun sequence.